AUUGAACGCUGGCGGCAUGCCUUACACAAGCAAGUCGAGCGGCAGCGCGGGGGCAACCCUGGCGGCGAGCGGCGAACGGGUGAGUAAUACAUCGGAACGUGUCCAGUUGUGGGGGAUAACCAGUCGAAAGACUGGCUAAUACCGCAUACGAUCUACGGAUGAAAGCGGGGGAUCGCAAGACCUCGCGCUAUUGGAGCGGCCGAUGUCCGAUUAGCUAGUUGGCGGGGUAAAAGCCCACCAAGGCGCCGAUCGGUAGCUGGUCUGAGAGGAUGACCAGCCACACCGGAACGGAGACACGGUCCAGACUCCGACGGGAGGAAGCAGUGGGGAAUUUUGGACAAUGGGGGCAACCCUGAUCCAGCCAUGCGGCGUGAGUGAAGAAGGCCUUCGGGUUGUAAAGCUCUUUCGGCGGGGACGAAACGGUUCGCGCUAACACCGCGGACUAACGACGGUACUCGCAGAAGAAGCACCGGCUAACUACGUGCCAGCAGCCGCCGCCGUAA
rnacentral:rRNA from 1 species